rnacentral:lncRNA from 1 species
GGAGCAGGAUCCAUCUAAAAGUAGAAGGCAGUCAGUGAGCGCGGUUGAGUGGGACCCGGGAGUACCUGAACGCUGUUCUCCUAGGAAGGUAAUGCAGUGUACAUACUGAAACCUUGUCUCAUGGGGGAAAAAAAAAAUCAGAAGCCAGUCUGUUUUAAUCUACCUUACUGUGGAAGUGACACUGUGAGACCUCGACUUAGAGUGUUUCUUCCUGGAAGGUAAG